AACGAACGCUGGCGGCAGGCUUAACACAUGCAAGUCGAACGCCCCGCAAGGGGAGUGGCAGACGGGUGAGUAACGCGUGGGAACAUACCCUUUCCUGCGGAAUAGCUCUGGGAAACUGGAAUUAAUACCGCAUACGCCCUACGGGGGAAAGAUUUAUCGGGGAAGGAUUGGCCCGCGUUGGAUUAGCUAGUUGGUGGGGUAAAGGCCUACCAAGGCGACGAUCCAUAGCUGGUCUGAGAGGAUGAUCAGCCACAUUGGGACUGGGACACGGCCCAAACUCCUACGGGAGGCAGCAGUGGGGAAUAUUGGACAAUGGGCGCAAGCCUGAUCCAGCCAGGCCGCGUGAGUGAUGAGGGCCUUAGGGUUGUAAAGCUCUUUCACCGAUGAAGAUAAUGACGGUAGUCGGAGAAGAAGCCCCGGCUAACUUCGUGCCAGCAGCCGCCGUAACAC
rnacentral:rRNA from 1 species